UACGUAGGGGGCGAGCGUUGUCCGGAAUCAUUGGGCGUAAAGCGCGUGUAGGCGGUUUGAUAAGUCUGCUGUGAAAGUCCAGGGCUCAACCCUGGGAUGCCGGUGGAUACUGUCGGACUAGAGUACGGAAGAGGCGAGUGGAAUUCCCGGUGUAGCGGUGAAAUGCGCAGAUAUCGGGAGGAACACCAAUUGCGAAGGCAGCUCGCUGGGACGUUACUGACGCUGAGACGCGAAAGCGUGGGGAGCAAACAGG
rnacentral:rRNA from 1 species